AGUUUGCACGAUAUUCAUUUGGAUCAACAUGGCGACAGUCAAGAAUCAUCACCUACCACGAAAGUUGGGAGGAUAGUUUCCAAGAUCGUUUUUACUUGAAAUAUGAUUCAACAUUGCGUGACGACCAGAAGGCGUCACGAGCGUUCGAGGAUAGUUAAAGAGCAACAGGCUUUUCGGGAGAUUAUCACGUUACAAAUUUCGAAAACAGUUGUCGACAGAAAAAGCGAUUUGGCGCCAAAAGAGCUAAUUUAAAUGCAAUUGCAGAAAGGCUUGACCCACUGUUAGAGCGUUCCAUGUAUCUGCGUCCGUUGAUCGCCAAUUUUUUGCAAACUCUUAUCGAUUUAAAAUGCGACAUUACAGCGAUGAGCGAGGAAAACCACUCAUGAGAAAGCAUCUUACAAGAAUUCGUCACCCCUAAAGAAAUUGAGUUGCAUUGCUUAGCAUGAACAUGCAGUGAAAACAAACUGGAGGAGACGCAAUGGCUAGCCAUUGUGAGCUUCAGGGAAUUUCAAAACGCCCCGUGAGAAACGGGCAGUCGACUUUGCCCAUAUAACGCAGCAUAUCAGCAGUCCCAAAAGGCGACGACAGAAAUUAGGCAUAAUCGGUGCACGGAUUAUAACGUUACAAAAAAACGUUGUCCGGAGAAAAUUGUGUUUUGCCGAAGCUGUAGGUUAUCACGUCAUGCACUAAUUUGCCAUCACUUUAUUCCCGUUGUCGAUGCAGACUACGGUGGAAUGACGGCUUGAAACUUUCGAUUAGAAAGACUUUUCAUCUGCCUAUGGGAGUCACGCUCCUGACCUGUCUAUUCACAUCGAACUCAGUGGCAUCAUUCUCAUCAUCAGACUCCCAUCAAUCUUGUUACCAGAGGUUGUUGUCCUUUUCGUGCGGCUGCACCAUAUCCUGCUAACAGAUCUAGAAGAAACAUCUACACACUUCAUCUCUGUCAGCGUAAUUUAUUUUUUCGUGAGCCUAUACUCGGAAUCAACAUGAGAUGGCAUUUUUCUGCUUCAUCGCCGAACUAUUAUGUCAAAGACCAUUCGCAAAUUACAUGGAAACUAUAUCGAAGUGUAAGUGUUGAUUUUCAACAUCUUUUUCCGCCCGCCAAUAUAAAAAAACGCUGUCAGUGAAGCAGUAUUAUUCACAGCAAUUGGAACUUCCAGUAUCGAAGGAAGCGAAGAGCGCCUCGUAUCUGAACAAAUAAUAAUUCCACAAACUCAUCCCGAAAUCAGCAAGUUGAAGUUUUCAAAUACGUCAGAUCCCUUGUAAACUAUUAAUCUUUUGUUUCAAACUCAUCUUGUACGAUCCCGUCCAUGCGACGGAAAAAUUUCAGUCCAGUCUCUAACGCUUUUAAGUAAAGGAACACAACAUUGCAAAACACGUGGAAGUAAAAUGUAUCGUUCUGUAA